UUACAUUUCAUUCAGUUUGUUCGACUCAAGUCCGAUCGACUUGGCCGGAAGCCCACCGAAGGCCCGAAAGCCUGUGUUUUUUGGGGCAGCAGUCGCGGGUCGCCGGCCAAGUUCCUCCAAGAGAGGGAGAAGGCCCACAGGAACCCGCAAGGUGGCCAUUCAACUGGAUCGAGGGCGCCAACCCUCCAGCUUGCCGCCUCUGCCUUUCGCAACCUCGUCCACGACUCCUUUGAUCCCGUCGAACACCGGGCCGGACGGUGGUUGAUUGAUGCUUUGGGUAUUCAUGGUCGAGCAUGAGCUUGCAUUACUUGUCUAUCACUGAGUUCAAACUCACUCUUUUCUACAUUUAUGAUUAAUUUCCAACAGAAGCUGAUGAAGGGAGCCCAUUUUAGUCCUCGAUGCCUCUUAUAUUGCAUAAACCAACAUGCACUGUGAAGAUGAAGACUAGGAGGAAGAAGAACAAAACCAUGCUGAUCAUUUAGAUCAGUAUAGAGGGGAAGGCAAAUUAAAAUUGAUAUGAGCGCGUGGUAGUCACAGAAACUAAGAAUCAGACUCUUCAUCUCCAGGCUCGCUGGUCUCCUUGGGAUGACCUUUGUCCAUUUUAAACAUCAUACAUACUUCUUGGGAGUCCUCAUUCUUUUCUGUUGUAACUUCUAGCUAUUACCUUGUACACAGAUACUGUAUGAAUAGUCUCUUAUUAAUUAAGAAAGGAAGAAUUCCUAGCUUUCUUUAGUUAUAGAAAGUGUUGGAAAAUCAUCAUUGCUCUCACAUAAAGAGGGGAAUGGCAAUUCAUUGUUAUUUUCUGAGCUUUGAUGUCUUUUUGCUUCUUUCAGUCUCAUUUUCUUCUAAAUUAUGCAUCCUAUUUAUUGUACUGGAUUCCUAGGAUUAAAUUGGGUUAUGGUGUUCCUGAUCUUCAUAUUAAAUCUAGGAACUUCAUUCACUGAUUUCUGAAAUGGGUGCUCUAUGAAAAGAGAUUUGAUUUUGUAAGCCUUCUGAAUAAUGCAACUGCAAUGACAAAUCCACUGAGUCUCAGAAAUCUCCUUCGAGGUAGAAAUAGAGUACACUCUGAAUUAGAUACAUUCUCUUUUAUCAUCACAUGGCGUUGGAAGCUUGUUUAUUGUUUUUGUCUCUGUUUCAGGAGUAUCUAAUCCAGGAUCUGCCAUCCAUCAGGGUCGCAUCCACCUCAAUGGACGAGCGAUGUGACUCGAAUGAGGUAGCAAAGAAAGCCUGGAGAAAGAUGGUCGGUAAUCGUGCGACCCCUCAGUACUAUCUCAGGAAGCUGCCUAUGCUCCAACCUUUUGCAAGUGCUAAGAGCAAAGCUUUUCUAAGCCAUCAAGAAUCAUGAACAGGAGGAGCCCUCUGCAUCUGUUUUGCAUCCCUGUGAAUGAUCACCACCUUAGCAAGUCUGUCUAUUCAUGCUCAUGUUUUUAG